UAGCUAGGCCCUUCCUGUAACAUUGAA
rnacentral:piRNA from 1 species